GCCCCUGUAGCUCAGUGGAUAGAGCGUCGGCCUCCGAAGCCGGAAGCCCGUGUUCGAGUCACGGCAGGGGCA
rnacentral:tRNA from 1 species